AUGGGGGUAAAUUAGUAAAAACGCAUUUAAAAUUAAAAUAGAUAAAAAGUUGCUUUGGAGAUGUGCCCACCGAAACACUCAAAACCAUUUUCUCUUUCAUCAGCCGAAGCACACACAUAUCCAUCCACCUGUAAAUGUUUUGAAGAUGGAAAAAUAAAUCAAAUUUUAGUCACCAAACCCCGCAACUUUAGCUUAGAUUUGUUAACAAGAAAGCGUCGGUGGUGGCUUAAGGGUGACAUCAUGUGAAAAUCAAUGGCGCUCGGUGUCAGACGUGACUGCAUUGAACUGAAGUAAAGAAGGUUAGUCUUUGAAAAAAUUGCGGAUUUUAAUUUUUUUAAUGCAUUCUAUUUUAAAUAAAUUAGAAUUUUAUUUUAUUUUAAUCAUAGAUUGGGG
rnacentral:lncRNA from 1 species